GAUCAUGCUCAGGAUGAACGCUAGCUACAGGCUUAACACAUGCAAGUCGAGGGGCAGCGGGAAGUCAGCUUGCUGACUUUGCCGGCGACCGGCGCACGGGUGAGUAACACGUAUCCAACCUUCCCGUUACUCUGGAAUAGCCUUUCGAAAGAAAGAUUAAUACCGGAUAGUAUCGAGAGAUUGCAUGAUAACCCGAUUAAAGAUUCAUCGGUAACGGAUGGGGAUGCGUUCCAUUAGGCAGG
rnacentral:rRNA from 1 species